rnacentral:rRNA from 1 species
AGCUCUGUAAGCGUAUACCAAAGUUGUUGCAGUUAAAACGCUCGUAGUCGGACUUUGGCUGUGUUGAGUUGUGGGACGCGAACGCGGACCCGCUCGGCAUGGCUUUUGUGGAUUUGCAACUGAUAGCGCGUUAACUCGUGUUUGACGAUUGCAGCCACUCUUUACUGUGAGAAAAUCAGAGUGCUCAAAGCAGGCAUUUGCCGUGAAUGUAUUAGCAUGGAAUAAUAGAAUAGGACUUGGUUCUAUUUUGUUGGUUUGUUGGGACUGAGUAAUGAUUAAGAGGGACAGUUGGGGGCAUUUGUAUUUCGGCGCUAGAGGUGAAAUUCUUAGAUUGCCGAAAGACAAACUGCUGCGAAAGCGUCUGCCAAGGAUGUUUUCA